rnacentral:misc_RNA from 1 species
GAUGAAGAACGUAGCGAAAUGGGAUAAGUAAUGUGAAUUGCAGAAUUCCGUGAAUCAUCGAAUCUUUGAACGCACAUUGCGCCCCCUGGCAUUCCGGGGGGCAUGCCUGUCCGAGCGUCAUUUCUGCCCUCCAGCCCGGCUGGGUGUUGGGCGCUGUCCCCCCGGGGACACGCCCCAAAGGCAGUGGCGGCGCCGCGUCGGGUCCUCGAGCGUAUGGGGCUUUGUCACCCGCUCGGGACGGACUCGUCGGCGCUGGUCUUCCUCCAGGCGACCCUUCGGGGCUCGUCUUCCUUCGGUUGACCUCGGAUCAGGCAGGGUUACCCGCUGAACUUAAGCAUAUCAAUAAGCGGAGGA